AAAAGAAAGAAAAGAGGAAAGCAGGAAAUGAUGGAGAAAUUGAAGGGAUGCAAGAGCUAUCUAGCAGAUUGAGCUGCAAAGCUGAUACCUGAAGGCUUUGAUCUAUGUCGACAACCAUAAUACAAGUUUCACUUGAUUAGUUCUCUCUCUCUCUCUCUCUCUCUCUCUCUCUCUCUCUCCAAAGAACUUAAAUUAAUAGAGUAUGCCACCUUGUUGUUAAAAGAAAAUGGAAAAGAGAGGCUGGACUUCCGACUCAUGAAACUCUUCCAACCGAAGACUCUUCCUUAUGGCAGCAGAACAGAAAUCUAGUGUGAUUUGGACACAGCACCAAUUGCAGCUGUCGAGCAGCUUUUUCUUGUUCUCACAGGUCCCAUCAGGGUGGUUGCUGCAGCUGCAGAGAGCCUGCUGGUACGCAGGAUCCCUUGCUCAUUGUUCUUCUCCCCUAAUUGUCUUUUCCCUACAGCUAACAAGACGACACCAGUUCAUCGGAAUACUACACCCGAGGGAUCCUUUCCUUCUCUCUGACACUUGAGCAGUCACAUGUCCUGCUUUGUGGUGAGGGUUGAAAGCAGGACAAAGGCACAAGAACCUUGUUGCUGGUGCAAGAAUAAAGAACAAAACAAUUGUUGGCAAACACAGCAUCCCAAGUGGGGUGGUGGAUUUAUCUAAUGGUUUGGCAAGAAGGCAGAGACCUGAUUAGCUGUGGAGCCAAGAUUAGUACCUGUACUUUGACAGCAAGAAACAUAAUGCAACCAAAUAAAAUGCAUCAAGAAAUUUCCAGCACAGUAAAGAGAGCACAGCAAGAAACAUGACAAGCUUCAGCUUCUGUUGCAAGGCAAAGAUAGAAAGAACAUGGAGCUCUCUCUGCAGACCAAGCAAAGUUAAUUUCAGGUGCAGGAGUUCAUAAAUGUGACCACAGAUCAGUACAGGAAGACGGUGCAUUGAGGAGGAGGAAGGAAGGAAGGUGUCAGGGACUCAAUAAAAGCCAUUAAUCUUGGUGUUGCUACAAUGGUGUGCCAUGUAUUCUUCUUACAUUGCAAUGCCUAUCAAGUGGCAAUGCUGUUUGUUGUCUGAGCAAGAUCUAAGGCACUGUCUUGGCAACAUUUUUGUUUGUAGUAAAAAAGAAAACAAAAACAAAAAAAACAAUUUGUUAUCA